rnacentral:tRNA from 1 species
GGGUAGGUACCCAAGUGGCCAACGGGGGCAGACUGUAAAUCUGCUGGCAUAGCCUUCGGAGGUUCGAAUCCUUCCCUACCCACCA